ACAUCUGUGACUUCGCAAGAUCUCGUCUAUCUCCGCCUAGUCCAAGGGAACGUGACCAGAUUCAACGAACAUCGUCAGGAUCGGUGGUUUGGCCAGCGACCAUUGUCGACAAAAUAUAUAUCUAACCAACAGACAUCAUCACCCCAGAGAUACCGAAAGAGCCAACGGGGAAUCAUCUAACCAACAACACUAGAUGAGUAAAAGGAGCCAUUUUAUUCGACGAGAGAUCGAAGAAUAUCCUACAAAAAAAAACAUGCCGAUAAUACCAGAGGAAAGAGAGAACGACAGAACCCGGCGUAGGGAGAUGGAAGAAGAACGAGCGGAUUUGGAUCGACAACGGCGCGAGCUUAAGAAGCUACGCAAUGAGCUUAGCGCUCGAGAGACCGCACAACAACAAAGGUUGAUCUUAAAAUUCCGAAAUUUCACGAUCAGGUCGAUAGAAAUCCGGUAGAGUUCUUGGAGGAGGUGGAGAGAUUUUUUAAAAUAAAAAAUAUAUCAAAUGAAAGAAAAAUAGUGGUGAUAGAGCAGUCGUUGGAGGGAGGAGCGAGUUUAUGGUUCGAGACUAAAGC